AUAAUAAUAUGGAAUAUGGCAGGCUCGGAGUGCACGAAGCGGUGGAUCGCUUAUUUUUCGGGCUUUUGCUUCUCGUAAGUAUACUUCGUCUUUGCGUUUGAUGUGCAUCUACUACGCGUAGCUAAUCUUUCGACUGCAUGAUGCCAUAUAUAGGUGUUCUGUGAUGAUACUUUAUAGCCAGGUUCCUCACGAGCUUUUGUGAUGCAUUGCAGGGACCGCCACACCGGCCAGCCAGUGCUACAGUGUCCUAAUGCAGAGAACGUAUAUUACACGGAACUGCGCUCCUUCAGAGUUAUUUAGAGUCUUUGUCAGAAGCACGUAACAGUAACAUUACUUGGUUACGGUGCUGCUACAUGGCAGAAUAUUUGAAUGGCAGAUGUCCCGAGUGCGGCAUGUAAGUACGUACGUACGCGCGCUUGUUUAGCCUAAAUAAGUUUCUAUUGUUCCCCAAUGGAAAUGCACAUUCCUGAUGCAUGGUUCAGAUCUGCCGGCUAAGGGCGGUAUUGAAUAAAGUCACCAAAUUGCGGCCUCGUUGCGGUCUCGCAUUGCGGCCUCAUUGCACGGUCGGGAAAAAUUGCUUUAGAACCAAAAUUUCGCUGCGCUGUCAGUAGCCAUUCACUGAUAAGCUUUCUCCGCAGCGUAAUGCUCAGUGCAGAUGUGAUGGGGGUUGUGUGUGCGGUCGGUAUGUGACCGAUAUUCCUGAACGCAGUGUCAUUCAGCGAUGUGCACAGCUGUGGCUGAUUGUAGAAUGUGGGCUGUGACAGGAGUGAUGGGGACCAUGCUCCUGCCUCGGCCAAGGUUGCAGCGAUUUCAGAGCUGCAGGGAGCGCCCAGGCAGAACCUAAUCUCGGCCCUAUGCUGCAGCUCCAGCUUCUUGAGACGGGCACGUGGUAGUGCCACGAGUGGGAGGACGUACCGCAGGCGUGAGGUGGCUACUGCAUGGUACAGCCGCAGAGCCCACCUAGUGGUUCAGCUCUGUCCUCGGGCAACAAGCUGGGAGACUGCCUUGUGGACCCGGAGGACCUGGACAUGCAGGGUCUUGACAGCAGGCAGCCAGGUCAGCCGGUGAUGAACGUGUAGCCCCGGGUACGUCACUGCCGGGCUUCAAGGUCGCCUUCCAGUUGCAGCUGUGCAGCGGGCGGUUGCUCUUGGGUGGAGCAGCAUGGCCUCCGUCUUCCUUGCCGAGAUGGCAAGGCCAAUGCAGCUCAGUCUGCAGGACAGCAGGCAGUCGGGCCAGGUUGAACAGGAAAGGGCUCACCACUGAUCCUUGUGGGACGCCCUCUACCAAAUAGGUCCAGGGCCUGCUGAACGACUGGAUAGGGCAGGCCGUCAAAGGCCCUCUUCAUGCCGAUAAGCACCAGGAGCACGGCGUCACCGUAGGCCUUGGCCUCUUCCACGAUGGAGUCCGCACUGCAUCAGCUCCGCCGGAAGCCUAUCUGCUCAUCGGCCAGAAAGCAAUGGCCUCCAUCAGCUUGCAAGCAGCAGAGGAAGCCAUCAUCUGGUGCUGUGUACAGCAAGCACAUGCUUCGGGCAAGGAGGGAGCCAGCACCAUAUCUACAUCAGCAAGAACCUCGGUGCUCAAAAUAAACAUUUUCUGUGCAAA